rnacentral:rRNA from 1 species
GGGGAAUAUUGCACAAUGGGCGCAAGCCUGAUGCAGCCAUGCCGCGUGUAUGAAGAAGGCCUUCGGGUUGUAAAGUACUUUCAGCGGGGAGGAAGGGGUUAAGGUUAAUAACCUUAGCCAUUGACGUUACCCGCAGAAGAAGCACCGGCUAACUCCGUGCCAGCAGCCGCGGUAAUACGGAGGAUGCGAGCGUUAUCCGGAUUUAUUGGGUUUAAAGGGUGCGCAGGCGGUCUGUCAAGUCGGAUGUGAAAUCCCCGGGCUCAACCUGGGAACUGCAUUCGAAACUGGCAGGCUUGAGUCUCGUAGAGGGGGGUAGAAUUCCAGGUGUAGCGGUGAAAUGCGUAGAGAUCUGGAGGAAUACCGGUGGCGAAGGCGGCCCCCUGGACGAAGACUGACGCUCAGGUGCGAAAGCGUGGGGAGCAAACA